rnacentral:lncRNA from 1 species
UCAUUCGUAGACAAAUAGAGUUUGGCCUGGCCCUAGUACAGUACAGUAUACUGCUGGGUGAAUCGCUCCCGAAAUCUGAAUUGAAGUCUUCUUGAUACUUAUCAUCAGUGUAAAAUAUUUGAAAGGCGUUGUCAAGUUAUGGUUUGGGGCCACUUUCCCGCCAAGCCUCUUCCUGGUUCAGCAGCUUAUUCUUCUUCAUUUAUGAUUCAAAUUUCUGAAUGUAACUUUACGAUCUAAUGAUGGUUGUAAAAUCUAAGAAAGCAGGUGGGUAUUAACAAGGGUUACAACUUACAAACAAGUGUGAGAAUAUACUUUAUUUAUUAUUUAUUUUUUAAUGCUUAAUUUUGUUGUGCUCAUAUAUUAUAUAUAUAAUAUGCUCUAUGUAGUUUAUACGAAUGCAAUAGUUUAUGCUGAUGCUAGUAUUUGAUAAUUUAUGUACAGGUGAAGAUAGAUAUCAUGUCAUUAGUGAAGGGACAUAUUAAGUUGGUUGAAAAGGUACUCUAGAUUGUGGCCAAAAGUUCCUUCAUAUAGCAACAGCUAGCCUUGUGUAUUCAUGCACAAUUGUUUUUAAUAGAAGCAGUACAUCAUAAUUCUUAUGCUAGUACAAUAAUUUUCAACUGCAUAGUACCUUGUGGUUCCUUGAAUUGAUUUCUCUUCUUUGUUAUGUAAAGCAAGACGAGACAUGUUCUAUUCUACAGUACCAUGUAGUUCUGAAGUUAUUCUGCAUUAAAUGAUUAAUGUUCGGGCAAUGAUGAAUUACUGUUGGUAGAUAAUAUCUUAAACUCUUUUGCAAUUGUUCCUCUCUUUGUGUGGGUGUUUUGGAUUACACUCUUCUACUAAUGAAAGGAAUAAAAGGAAAACCCCCAUCUAAGGGAAUGGAACCUGUAUACAGACUAUGGAAAAGGAAAACCCGUAGUUUACUCGCAACUUACAACUCUGACCUUAUAUAUAUGUAUAUGCAUUCUGUAAUUGAGUAAGUUGAUGUUAAUAUGUAAUGAAAGAUGAAAUUAUGUGUUCAUCAAACUUACUUCCUUCUGUUCUAUAGGAUGUGACAUAAUCAUUAAUAAAUAUGAAAGGAGUUUCGAGGAUUCAUGCUGAGAUGGUGAUUGCUGCAAUGACUUCUUAUGUGAUCUACAUAAGAACUCUUCAAAUGUAGCUUGAAGCUUCUAUAGUUCAGAUAAGGGAUUGUUCAAAGUAUGGAACAUUUAUCAAUGAGGAUCCAAUCUGUAAUGCUAUGUUUGGAUUGCAGGAAUUAAGGUGGGAAUGGAAUGAAAAAAAUUGUGUUUGGUUGUUUCUUUGUAAUGGAAUGAACCAUUUUCAUUCAAUCUCCAAUCCAAACGUAGCAAAGGGAAAAGUCCAUGAGUUUCCGAAUAGAGAAACAACUCCGCAAGACAGAGAUAUGAACUCAUUUGGAACUGGUUUUGCUACCUAUUGCUAAAUUGUUAUUUUUCUGUGCUAAACUUCUGUUUGUGUAGAAUUUCAGAUUUCUUGGUUAGAGCUUUGUGGUCUUGAAAUUUGAGAGUAUCAGUAAUUGACAUGAUAACAUUAAACAGUCAUAUAAGAUGCAGCAAGAAGUUCUGUUUGGUUAAUUUUUCCUAAAUUUGCAGGUUUUCUUUUGUUCCCCGAAAAUUUUUUGUUUGCUGUUCUGCGCUUAUACAAGCUAAGCAACUUCAGGAGAUGAUAACAUCAAUAGGUAAGCAAUUAUGAAGGUUCCAUAAGGCAUACUCCCUUUGUCACGUAAAGGUUGUCAUAAUUAAGUUUUAUUUUUGUUUAUUAUUUCAAAAAGUUAAAUCAUUCUUUCAAAGGUCAAGGAAACAAUACUGCAGUAUUAAGUAUCUUAAAAGUAUAUUGAAGAUUGUUUGAUAAAUUAGCAUUUUGGUUUUAAAAUUUGACUUCUUUCAUUUGUGUGAAAUACCAAUUGUGACAAUCUUAGUGAAACAUAGGAAGUAAUAGUUUGAACCUUCAGCCUUGUUCUUGUUAUUUUAUACAUUAUGAUUUGGGUCUAUGAUUUUUUUUUGGGUGUAUUAUCUAUUGCAUUACUUAAAUUGUCUCUUGAUCAAGAAAUGUAAAGAAAAGAGAAAACAAUCAUUAAUGUAUUACUUGUUCAUCUUGGUCCCAUUGCUUUUUUCUGUCAAAGAAUUUCUAUGGAUGUAAUUGUAAAGCUGGUGUCAAAAUACUGGUAAAGCAAGAGCUUCUUCAUUGCUCUUGUUUUUUCAUACAUUGAGCAUCAAUGGUGUUUUUUUUUGGGUUUAGCUGUAAGCACCUGAAUUGCAGUUCCAUAAUAUUUAAAUGUCCUAUGAAAUUGAAUGUCUGAAUGAUUGCAUUUUUUUUCUAUCAAUACCGUAUAAGACUUUACUGCUGUGUCCUUAGGCUUUAAACUGCAGUGUCAGGUGUACAGUUUCCUAUCGACAGUGUAAAGUAAUGUCGUUGUGUGCAUAUAAUCUUAGAAUCACAUAUCAGGUCUUACAGGUUAAUUGAUUUGACUUAACAAAUGCAUCCAGCUUCUUAUGGAGGCUAAAUUCCUUGGUCUCUGCCCCUGAUUGUGCUAUUUUUAUACAUGUAUAUAUAUAUGAAUACUUUUUUGUGCACAAACUAUGCAUAAAUUGUUGUGCACAAAUAGUAAGAAAAUAUAGUAUACGAGUAUUUCCAUUUAAAUUAUUGAUAAGGUUUAUAAUUAACAUUAUUUUUUUACUAUUUAAUGCAUGGGUGAUAUUGUUUGUGCACAUAGAAUUACUGGACGCCUCCCGCAGGGAAGAUCACGCGACAACACGUGGAUCCAAGCACUCGGCCUCAUGUUCGAUUAUCACAGCUUGAUUAAUAUAGACAGUUGCUACUUGCUACAUACCUUAAGCCUAUUGGUAUAUGGUGCUUAAAAAUGCAUUCUCCUCCUUAUACCCUGACUAUACAUAUUGCUACAGUACGUAUAUAGUCAGAACAUAGGCUUAGCACUGUUGAAGUACUUGGAUGCUACCUUCAGAUUUAGGUUGAUAGUUGUCACCCAUGAAUGUGGGCUGAAAGAAACAAGUUAUGAAUACUGUUUGGUUUUCCUAGCAUUGAUUUUUUUUAAAAAAAAAUAAUACUAAUAAGGCAAAUAAAGAGAGAAAUGUUUUCCUAGCUAUAGUACAACUAACUGGAUACUGAUUACAGAAGGAAUCUUAAUGUGAGCUGGCAGACCUGGGUACCCUGUGGUGCGACCCUACUGAACCCAACAUUUCAAGAAGUGAUCUGAAUAAGACAUUUCACCAACUGUACAUGAAUAUAAUCGCAACAGACUUCUCAGACACUCUCACAUUCUUGUUCUUUCUUUGAUCUUGCACUUGUGCACCCAUUCCACUAUUCAUGUACAUAAUGAAACCUUUGUCUAUUCUUUGCUAUGGCCAUAUGGAAUUAUUGUCUUGUAAUGUAGGCACCUUCAUUUAACCAUCGAUCUUUUUCACAUCUCUGGUAAACUUUGUAUGACAUAUUCAUAGCAUAUUGAUUAUGUGUCGGCAAUGUAUAAAACUGUUAUUAGUUUCUGCACACUAAAUUUUCUUUUUCGCCUAUAUGUUUGUAUGUUACUACUUUUCAUUGUCGAGUCUGCAUCGUAAUAUCAAUAGCUUUCAUUUUUAUGGGGAUGGGGUCGGUGAUUUGAUGGUCAACCAAUUAUAUUCUCAGGCUGAUGGCAGUCAGCUGCGGGCCUACUAUUUUAUGCUAUUGCCCAAUCUCCAGCUUGACGUUUCAGGCCCCAUUGCUAAAACCAAGUUGUAGAUCAGAUAAUCAAGCUGGGUUUCAUGGAAAAAACUAUGCAAUCAUAUGGAUAGAAUGCCCGAAAAGUUUCUGUUUGAUACCAGAGAAAGUUGUGUAGCUUACGGUUCAUAGUACAUUUUUUCUCAGGUAAAAAUUGGUCAAAGGGUUGAUUGAUUAUAAGAAGGCGAGCGUGGUGGUCCGCCCAAAGUGGUAAUUCAUGUACUACAAGUAUUACUACCUGUCAAUAUUGUCAUCUGUGCACAUCAUUUAACAAGGAGACAUUACAUAUUAGCACAGAUUAUUUCGAGAUUUGAACAGAAGUUGUUAAAUUUUAGCACAAAAGAACAUGGGUUAUAAAAUGAUCUCCUACUUUUGCAUGCAAAAUAUUGAUCUGAUUUGUGAAAAUACUAGUCAUUAUGCAGUUUGUGUGUUAAUAUAUUAAUAUUGCAGGCAUAAUCACAUUGUUUAGAUCAAAGAGAGAAAGAGCGCCAGGGUAGCUGAUCACAUGGAAACUUAAUAGGAGGACCAUGAGCCCACAUGUGGCCCUUCCCCAACAGCCAAGACAGAGAAAUGUUGCUGAGAAUUACGCUCUAUAUAUAUAUAUAAUGUGCCACACUAUCCUUUUGUAGUGGGGCUACGCCGGAUAAGGCUUUUAAGAUAAAAGUGCUUGGUUGAUAGGUUGCAGGGCCAUCUAGCCCCAUAAGGCCAUAGCAAUGCCAGCCCCAUUUAUUUUUUAGCUUACAGUUACUGGAAUAUGCAUGACAGUGUAGUUGUUUAUGUAUUUCACAGUUAGUUUUUAUCCCUUCGUUUUCCUUUUCUCGUAUCCUCGAU